ACGACAAAACCUUUCUUCUUAUUUUUCUCUCUUUCUCCUCCAAAUAACGACACUCUCUUCUCCAUUGAAACUUUCUGGUUCCCCAACCUUUCGUCUGUCCAAACCAAGUCAUAAUAAGGUUCUAAAAAUCGGCGUAGGCACUACGCGGCUCCAAGCCUUUCCGAUUAUGGCCUACUCGAUCUAUCUAGGAGCGGGGGUGAAAAUUGGCCGCCUAGGCGGUUGCUGGGCUCUGGGCGAUCGCCUUUUCUCUCUUCGACGGUGACGCCAUGAUGGACUAACAGUGUGACGAUGGUAAACCGUUUUUCACUCUUCAAUUGAUUUAUGGGCUUAUGGGUACUCAAUUGAUUUCUGUUUCUCUUAAUUUCUGCUUCUGGGUAUUCAAUUUUCAGUAGCAAAGCAUAGACGAUUAGACGUCUUCAAGGGCAUUGCAUGAUCUUGAAGAAAGGUUGAAUCUUUGUGGUUAAGAUGUUUGACUAUAGCUAGUAGAACAAGGAAGGGGCAGGAGAGAGUUUACAAGGAGUUCAAUGAGAAAAAGAAGCAGAAGAAUAAGAAUGAGGGUGGCUCGGCUCCCAUUGAUUUUGACAAAUUGGGGUCUGAAUGCAUAGUUAUUUUGGAUGAUAGCAUGGAGGAUGUCGAUUCAAACGGUUUUGAUUUAGAAAAGAGUGCUGCAAAGGGAAGUAAGAAGGUAGGGAAAGGGGGGAGUGUGGAGGUUGGAAGUGUCGAGACUAACACCGAUUUUGUAGCUGAUUUGGAUAAUGGUGACAGUGAAGGUGUGAAAGUCUGACUGAAUUGCAGAAAGAGAAAAGACCAAAAAAAAAAAAGGCAAUCUGACUCAAGGGCAUUUUAGGAAGUGAAAAGAGAUGUUAGAUAAAAUAUUAUUAAAAUAAUAGAAGGGUGUGUGGUUUGUAAUAUGGGGUGUGCAAAUUUACCCCCCAAUAUUAAAUAUGUAAGCAUUCUUAUGGAACGAACAA